UACAGAGGUCCCAAGCGUUGUUCGGAUUCAUUGGGCGUAAAGGGUGCGUAGGCGGCGCGGUAAGUCGGGUGUGAAAUCUCGGGGCUUAACUCCGAAACUGCAUUCGAUACUGCCGUGCUUGAGGACUGGAGAGGAGACUGGAAUUUACGGUGUAGCGGUGAAAUGCGUAGAUAUCAGGAGGAACACCAAUGGCGAAGGCAGCUCGCUGGGACGUGACUGACGCUGAGACGCGAAAGCGUGGGGAGCAAACAGG
rnacentral:rRNA from 1 species